GUUGAUUUGGGGAUGUUGUUGGUUUGUGGUUUUGUGGAUUACUCCUGGAAUUUGCAUUAAAUACUCUCUUGAACUUUACUCCUUCGUCGUGUGCUUGACUGGACAGCCAACACAUUACAGUCAGUGGCGUCCAGUGUUUAGUUCCCAACAUUCUUCAAAAUAUAUCUUCAGUGUUUCACAGCAGAAAGUCAGUCAUACAGCUCUGAAUGAGAGUUCGUGAUGGCAGAAUGAUCAUUAAUAGCUGAACUAAAUCUGUCUCAAAGAUGAUUAGAAUCAGAGACACCACGUGUGUUUCUGUGGAUUGGAGCCGCUGUGUGAGAUCUUCACACAGCUCUUCUGGACUUGGGACUUGUUCUGAGACUCGUGGCAGUAUCUGGGUCCGUUUCACAUGCCUGUCGCUCUGAAGUCUGCUCCCAGCCGUUCAUUCUUGCUCUCGCCUGUCAUUCUGUUUUUGAGUGCAGUGGAAAACGAAAGCGAAUUCUGUGCAAAGUGUAUCCAGAUGAGGGAGCGCUGGAGCUGAUCUGAGUAAUGAGAGACUGAAGAGCUGAUCUUACCUGGAUGUUGAGCCGGCCCCUGUGUGGCCCCAGACCGUAGUGUCUCAUGCUGGAUGCGUGGAGCUGAAAGUCAUCGAUCUUCAGCGUCUCCAGACCCAGCGGAGGACAGUCUGUCAGGAGAGAAGCGCUUUGAGGAAUCUGAGUUGAUGAUCCGUGCAGCUCCGAGUCGGAGACACUGUCAUAACAUCUAUCUGUUCAGGAAACCUGGCUUCAGUCCUCUGGCUGAUUCAGAAGCUAUCUGUCUGACUGACCAGUGACAGUCGAAGGAGUGUUCAAGAAACCUGUCUGGAAACAGUCACUAUUCUCUCAGACGUGACUUCAGACUCCUUCAGAUGAGAGUCCUAUUAAACCUGACCAUCUGACUGGACAAUCACAUGCUCUCACUCAUUCUGCAUUUGUUCUUCUGUGUAAUCAUACUAAACACAAUAUAAAUGUAUUUCACAAGCAAAGAAUUUUUUUUUUUUUCUAGAAUAAACUAUUCUUCUUGUUC